AUGAGAAUGUUUGGGCUUCAGAAGGGGCUUGCCUCUAGUGCCCUCUGCCGUGGCAAAAAGAAGGUCUGGUUGGACCCCAAUGAGACCAGUGAAAUUGCCAAGGCCACCUCCCACCAGCAGAUCUGGAAGCUGAUCAAAGAUGGGCUAAUUAUCCAUAAGCCUGUGACUGUCCAUUCCCUGGCUGGAUGAUGGGAAAACACCUUGGCCCGCCAGAAGGGCAGGCACAUGGGCAUAGGUAAGCCAAAGGGUGUAGCCCUUUGCCAGAGAAAGUAACCUGGAUGAGGAGAAUGAGGAUUCUGCGCCACCUGCUCUGAAGAUACCAUGGAUCGAAGAAGAUUGAUCACCACACGUAUCACAGCUUGUACCUGAAGGUGGAGGGGAAUGUAUUCAAAAAACAACUGGAUUCUCACGGAACAUAUCCAUGAGCUGACGGCAGACAAAGCCUGUGAAAAGCUCCCAGCUGAACAGGCUCAGGCCCACAGAUCCAAGACCAAGGAAACACACAAGCACUGUGAAGAGCACCUCCGGGCCAAGAAGGAGAAGAUCAAGACUUGCCCAAGGAGGAAGAAACUAAGAAAUAG
rnacentral:lncRNA from 1 species